rnacentral:rRNA from 1 species
UACGGGGGGAGCAAGCGUUGUUCGGAUUUACUGGGCGUAAAGGGCGCGUAGGCGGCCACCGCAAGUCGACUGUGAAAUCUCCGGGCUUAACCCGGAAAGGUCAGCCGAUACUGCGGGGCUAGAGCACAGUAGAGGCAGGUGGAAUUCCCGGUGUAGCGGUGGAAUGCGUAGAGAUCGGGAAGAACAUCAGUGGCGAAGGCGGCCUGCUGGGCUGUUGCUGACGCUGAGGCGCGACAGCGUGGGGAGCAAACAGG